UGAUCCGUCUGAUAAGGGUCGGACUUCCCAGCCUCCCUGAACGCAACCUAAUUUUCCCACUCUGAUUGGUAAUACGCUUCACCUGUUUGAUGCCCUUUAAAUACCUGCCUGUGACAGCGUUUCUUCGCCAGAUCGUCUUGGUUCUACCCUGCACGUUUCCAGCCGUUGUUCUACCUGUCUGCCUGCCUACCUGCCUGUUGUUGACCUUGUUUUGGACCUGGAUUAUCGUCUCUGCCUGCCCCCUGACUGUUAUCCACCCACUCCAGUGGACUCCCCGUCCGGCUUCCCGGGUUCUGCCUGUACGAUCUCACCAAACUGCACUACAGCACCCGGUACGUGGAUUUGUAACAUCCUGCAUCAUUAUCACAGACUCCCUGCCUUCUAACACCUGUUCUCAUACCCCCCACAGAAGAGCUGACCGAACGAGACCGGAUAGAUCACCAGUGCACAUUUACAUUGUUCAAAUAAAUUCCUUUUUACCUUU